GAAAAUCACGCGUUUUCUCUUCGCAAAUCCCCCAUUUAAGGAAAAAUCACGCGUUUUCUCUUGGAGAAUCCCCCAUUUAACCCGUAAAUCACGCGUUUUCUCACAGAGAAUGCCCCAUUUAACCUGAAAAUCACGCAUUUUCUCUUCGCAAAUCCCCCAUUUAACACUAAAAUCACGCUUUUUCACUUUGCAAAUACCCCAUUUAAGGAAAAAUCACGCAUUUUCUCUUCGCAAAUCCCCCAUUUAAGCAGAAAUCACGCGUUUUCUCUUUGCAAAUCCCCCAUUUAAGUGAAAAUCACGCGUUUUCUCUUUGAGAAUCCCCCAUUUAACCCGAAAAUCAUGUGUUUUCUCUUCGAGAAUCCACCAUUGAAGCCAAAAAUCACGAAUUAUCACUUCGAGAAUCCCCCAUUUAACAAAAAAUCACGCGUUUUCUCUUCGCAAAUUUCCCAUUUAAGCGAAAACCACGUGUUUUCUCCUUGAGAAUCCUCUACUUUACCUGAAAAUCACGCGUUUUCUCUUCGAGAAUACCCCAUUUAAGCCAAAAUCACGCGUUUUUGUCUUCGCAAAUCCCCCAUUUAAGCAAAAAUGACGCGUUUUGUCUUCACAAAUCCCCCAUUUAACCUGAAAAUCACGCGUUUUCUCUUCGAGAAUCCCCCAUUUUAGCGAAAAUCACGCGUUUUCUUUUCGAGAAUUUCCAUUUAAGCAAAAAUCACGCGUUUUCUCUUGGCAAAUCCCCCAUUUAAGCGAAAAUCACGCGUUUUCUCUUCGAGAAUCCCCCAUUUAAGCGAAAAUCACGCUUUUUCUCUUCAAGAAUCCCUCAUUUAACCUGAAAAUCACGUGUUUUCUCUUCGAGAAUCCUCCAUUUAACCCGAAAAUCACGCGUUUUCUCUUCGAGAAUCCCCCAUUUAAGCGAAAAUCACGCGUUUUCUCUUCGAGAAUCCCCGAUUUAACCCGAAAAUCACGCGUUUUCUCUUCGAGAAUCCCCCAUUUAAGCGAAAAUCACGCGUUUUCUCCGCGAGAAUCCCCGAUUUAACCCGAAAAUCACGCGUUUUCUCUUCGCAAAUCCCCCAUUUAAGCGAAAAUCACGUUUUCUCUUCGAGAAUCCCUCAUUUAAGCGAAAAUCACGCGUUUUCUCUUUGCAAAUCCCCCAUUUACUCGAAAAUCACGCGUUUUCUCUUCGCAAAUCCCCCAUUUAACCCGAAAAUCACGCGUUUUCUCUUUGAGAAUCCACCAUUUAACCCGAAAGUCAUGCGUUUUCUCUUCGAGAAUCCCCCAUUUUAGCGAAAAUCACGCGUUUUCUCUUCGCAAAUCCCCCAUUUAACCCAAAAAUCACGCGUUUUCUCUUUGAGAAUCCCCCUUUUAAGCAAAAAUCACGAGUUUUCUCUUCGAGAAUUCCCCAUUUUAGCAAAAAUCACGCGUUUUCUCUUCGAGAAACCACCAUUUCUGCGAAAAUCACGCGUUUUCUCUUCAAGAAUCCCCCAUUUAACCGGAAAAUCACGCGUUUUCUCUUCUCAAAUCCCCCAUUUAAGCGAAAAUCACGCGUUUUCUCUUCGAGAAUCCCCCAUUUAUUUGAAAAUCACGCAUUUUCUCUUCGAGAAUCCCCCAUUUAAUCAAAAAAUCACGCGUUUCCUCAUUGAGAAUCCCCCAUUUAAGCGAAAAGCACGCGUUUUCUCUGCGAGAAUCCCCCACUGAAUCCAUAAAUCACGAAUUACCUGUCCGGGAAUCCCCCAUUUAACCAAAAAUCACGCGUUUCCUCUUUGAGAAUCCCCCAUUUAACCCGAAAAUCACGCGUUUUCUCUUCAAGAAUCCACCAUUUAAG
ensembl:lncRNA